rnacentral:rRNA from 1 species
GACGAACGCUGGCGGCGUGCUUAACACAUGCAAGUCGAACGGAAAGGCCCUGCUUUUGUGGGGUGCUCGAGUGGCGAACGGGUGAGUAACACGUGUGUAACCUGCCCUUGUCUUUCGGAUAACUUCAGGAAACUGGGGCUAAUACCGGAUAGGAGCUCCUGCUGCAUGGUGGGGGUUGGAAAGUUUCGGCGGUAGGGGAUGGACUCGCGGCUUACGAGCUUGUUGGUGGGGUAGUGGCUUACCAAGGCUGUGACGGGUAGCCGGCCUGAGAGGUUGACCGGCCACAUUGGGACUGAGAUACGGCCCAGAAUGCUACGGGCGGCAGCAGUGGGGAGUAUUGCACAAUGGGCGGAAGCCUGAUGCAGCAACGCUGCGUGCGGGAUGACGGCCUUCGGGUUGUAAACCGCUUUCGCCUGUGACGAGGCGUGAGUGACGGUAAUGGGUAAAGAAGCACCGGCUAACUACGUG